UGAUUUUAAUUUCUAUUUUGACUCAUUUUGUCUUGAUUUGAAACCACUAGGUCUCAGCAGGAAUUCCACCCAGAUCCUCGAUAUUCUGUACGAUAGCCCCCUCCAGUCUGAUUAUAAGACUGGAGUCUUCUUGGAGUGCACCAGCUUUUCAGGAUUUAAAUAGGUAGCUGUUCAGCCAACCAUUUUUUUUCAUUUAAAAUGCAACAAAAGCGGAAAUUGCAUGCUGAAUUGUGUCCAGAUGCUGUCUUCUUUUGGGUCUGGCCAAAUGAUGCAGUUACUCAUUUCCUGAUGUGUCAAAAACACAUUUGUAUUUGAGUCUAACUGGCAAUCUACAAUGAAGUCUACAACGGGUAUAUCGAGGCAAUUGCUUCCUAGAUCCAGCAGAUGGGGCGUGUUAAGAGUUAAUCAUUGUGUGUGCAUCCCUGCGCACAACCACACACAGUGUGUCCAAACCGGGUGCGUUAUUCUUGAGAGGCUUGUUACACAAGCUUUCCAUUGUUCCCAUCAGUAAAAACAAGGGCCGUUUUGAUCGCUACAUUUUCCAUCAACAAUAACUUUUAAAAAUCACUUUUAACAACUUGUUGAUAGGAAUAUUAGAUUAGAAUAUCAAUUCUAAAUGCUCUGGUAGUUAUUUUUUGCCAGAGUAUAUACUAUCUGGUAAGCAUCCAGUAAGGAUAUUUUUGCCUAAUUUUUUUGGUAUGCAAAGUUGACAACUUCAUCUCAAAAUUAUAGAUCAAACAUCAGACAAACAUCCAAAAUUCUCUAAGAACAAUUUUCAGUCAUCUCCUGCUUCCUUUGGACCAAGUUUUCUGGACCAGCUAAGAAGCCCCAUCUGAAUAGUUGCAAAGCCGUAAGAUUGAAAAGCUACACCGAAUCUCUUGCUGCACUGUGAAAUCAGCUCCCGCUUGCAAGUCCCUGAUUUUUCUCUGGAAAAGUUUCAGGGACGAUUCGUGCAUCCUUUGUCUGAGAUGCGCCUGUGCGGCUAAUUGCUCUUAGUCGAUGCAAAUAGAAGCAGUAGCCUCUGCAGCUUGAGGGUCCUUCUGCCAGCUACCAGUGGUCUCCCUCCUCGCCAGCUUCUCACGACAGCUUUUCCAAGACCUCAGUCAUCUCAGCAAUCCUCUUCUCACUCCUACCCUCUAGUCAGCAGACGACCUUGGCUCUCUCAUUCCAGAGGACACAGACUAUUUACAUAACUCCGCUGUUCUCUCAGUUAACUGAAAAUGCUUACCUUUACAGAGACCGCCUUAUCUCUUCUCUCCAGGGGAGGGUGAAGGGAUGCCUCUUAUUUUCCAAAUGCAUCCCUCUGCCACGUCUGUCUCCAUCUUUGUCUACACCCCUGCUUCCUUCUCAGGUAUCUUUAGGCUCUUGCUGGUCACUAUUUUAAUCCCCUCAGGAUAUAAACACGACACCAGCUCUCCUGAAAUACUGCUCUAGACUCUGAGAGGAGGAGAAACUGCCUCUUUCUGAACUCAGAAGCUACAGUGGGUCUGUAGAUAGAAGCUGCGUUGAGUUUGGUCCCAUGGCCUUGCCACUCUGGUUUCACUGUAUUGAAUUAUGUAUAAGAGCUGUGGCCAAAGGUAGCAGGUGUAAAGGCCAUCGCCAAAAGCAGCUCAGAUGUGAGAAUCAAAAUGACAGUAGUUCCGUUUGGGUUCCUCUUUGUAAGCAAUAGAAAACAAAUCCAUUUAAUUUAACCUCAAUGGGAAACUCAUUGGAUAUAUGGCUGGCUCUCAUAUCUACAGGAGCCUGCAAAGAGAGCUCCCUGGAGCAUCUGUCUGUCGGGGGGCAUGGAGAGGAACAGAGAAUGUUCUACAAGGUGAGAAACACUUCAGCUUGCUGCUUCUGCUGAUUCUUGGAAGCACUGAGCUGCAGAGGUCUCUGAACUUGUUUAUCUUAGGUCAAAUGACUUACUGGUCCAUGGGCAAGUUGGCAGGGAGAGAGAGAGAGAGAGAGAGAGAGAGAGAGAGAGAGAGAGAGAGCUCAUUGGUUCACUCAUGACCGUGUGACUCAUGUGUUCUCUCACUACCCUAGUCUGUACUAGGACACUACUCAAAUAGGAGUUGGUUGCUGGGUUGAUUAAACCCACAAAUGGCGACUAUAGAUGAUUCCCUUACUACUGCAAGUUUCUCUCAAGAGGCAUGAAAAUGAGACAGAGACAGCAGGAGGAGAAAGUACUAGAAACAGAAACCAGAAAAAAACUGUAGCAGAGAGAAUCGAAGAUGAGAUAGAUUCCAGGAACAGCAAUCAGCUAGGAGAGCUGAGUCAUGAAAACGGUGGUCACGAGGGUGUGAGGACAGAGGCGUCCACUCCGAGGGGCGCUGAGACAGGGAUGAUGUAGUGACAAGUGGGUUGGUUCAGGAGCUGGCUUGACUUUGAAGGACUGUCCAGUGUGAUCUGACUUGAGGGCUUUGACUGAUAGACACAUACUGUCCCGUGUGUGUGUGUGUGUGUGUGUGUGUGUGUGUAUGUGUGUGUGUAUGUGUGUGUGUGCAUGUGUGUGUGUGUAUGUGUGUGUAUAUGUGUGUGUAUGUGUGUGUGUGUGUUUCACUACCCAGAUGUAGUGUUCAUGUUGUUGCUAUUAUUAUUUUAAAUAAACUAUUGCGUGUCUCGGCUGCUUCAGCUCUAAGAUUAUGCUUAUGUGGAAUGUGCAGCUGAUGUAAGCACUGAACUUAGCAGACUUCCUGGGAUACUAGAUAUUACCUCUGGUGCCUGUCAUUAUUGCUAUUACCAUUUCACACUGCCACGGUUUUACAAAUCCUAGUUUAUUAUUUUAUCUUCAUGGAAAAUUCCAACUCAUCUUUUAAGAUUCAGUUCAGAUGUAACUCUUAAACCUUUCUCUUGGCACUGGGCUAAAUGAAUGUCGCGGUCUUGUUCAGCAAACAUUGACUGACUACUACCACAAACACAGUAUAUGGAGAUAUCAAGAGAAGAAUUCCGUCCUGCAAAAGUCUAAAAUACACAGUGGCAGUGACGUAAACAUCCAGUCUUUCUGUCUUCUAAUAAAUGCUCUAAAGAACUAUGACAUGGUGGCACCUGGUUUUGUAUUUUUUUCCUCUGAAAUUAUGCCUCUACUGCAACAGACAUGUAGGUAUUAUUUUAUUAUUUGCACAUCUGAUUCUCUUGUAUCUGUAUAAUACUCAGUACAUUGGUUGUGUUUGUGUGUUGGUACUUAUGUACAUGUAUGCAUUCAUAGUGUCAGAGGGCUUGGGUGUUGUUCCUGAGAAGCUGCCUACCUUUCUUCAUUGAGACAGGUUCUCUCUCUGACCUGGAACUUGUCAAGGAGACAAGGCUGGCCAGGGAACUCCAGGGUUCUCACCGACCACUGCUGCUAGGAUUACAAGCACCAACAGUGAAAAAAUUCUGUCGAUGUCAGUUUCCCACGCCGCUGUUUCUUACUGUCUACGAUGGCGUUUCGUGUUGAUUAACGGCCAAAUACAGCUUGAAGAGCGACUUUGACUAAUGGAGCCAAAUGGAAAGAACCAGCAGGGGGUGGGGAGAACACGGACAAGGGGACUGGCGACCCAAUGAUGGCAAUCUUUCAGCGCUGGAAAACCUAGUGUCUCCGUUCGUCAUCUUGCAAAUGUGGUAAAUGAACUUUGAGAAGCUGCAGGACUUGUUAGGGUCAUCGCGUGGGAGGAGAAUUGGGAGGCAGGGUUUCCUCUUCUGCUAGAAGGAUAGACUGUUUAAUAUGUGGUAAUGACAGCAGGAAAAACUCCAUUCUCUAGCACUGGGCAAGUGGAGGAGGGACUGCUGGGUGAACUGAAUCAGGCUUUGUUUACUAGCAUUCACAUGCUAUCUCCAUUUCUGUAGAGCUGGGUUCUAUUUUGAGAGUCAGUGAGAAAUCUGAGGGAAAGAGUGAAACGAUAAAAUUAUACUUUAGGAAGUUACUUAAGGCUAGUUGGAAUAGCCUUCAUGGCUAUGGUGGCUUAAAAAUAAUGCACACUUUAAAUAUAUUUAUCACUGCAUUUUAAUUAACUCGAGCUGGUUUUAGUGGCUUGAUUCUUUUUUUUUGUGGGUAACAUGUAUAGGAAAUCUAGUAUGCUUUUGCAUCUACCCUGACCUUCGCAAAUACUACUGUUUGUUUGUCUGUGAAGUGACCUAGUUUCCGUAGGUGAAAAUUUUGUCUGAGCUACUAAUUGUGAUGUUCUGUUUGGUGUCAUGAUGCCUAGCGCAGUCUCUGAGGUCAGCUUAAGAUAGAAUAAAGUCAUCUUAGUGCGUUCAGACUGAAGUGACAGAGAGCAUCAUACACAGUGGAGAUUUGUCCUCCCAGCUCUGGAGAUGGAGAAGGUCACGGUCACAACACCGGCAUGUUUGUUACCUACAGAGAAGUCCUGUGCUAGCUCAUUGAUGGCCACCUUCCUGGUGUAUCCUCCCAGGGCAGAAGGUCAAGGGAUCCUUGUCCCCAGCAGACAGCGCUAAGAUGGACAGUGUGAAGAAGGACUGCAUGGAUGGACUUGACCUUCCUUGACUUUGACACAAGCAAAGCUUAGCAUGGAUUAUUUCUUGGAAAUGCCCAAAUUAAAGGAAAAGGAAACUUGGCCAGGGACAGUGGUACACAGAGUCAGAGGCAGGUGGAUGUAGCGUGAAUUCUGUUUGGUUUUAAUAAUAAAAUCUCGGAGUCAGCUAUCAGGGGGGUGAGAGCUGAACGGUCAGAGAGGUAGGUCAGCCAGCUCUAGAGUUCUUACCUCUACCAGUGCUGAGACCAAAAGGACGAACUUGUCCUCAGCCUGCUUCCUUGAACUAUGUUCUCAGACCGACUGCCUUCUCACACUGCUUCAGACUGACUGCACUGAGCUCCCAUCUCCUUCUGCCUUAUGUUUCUCUCUCCACCCAGCCAUACCACUCCUGUCUCCACCUCCCUAGUGUUGGGAUUAAAGGCAUGGUGUCCCAAAUACUGGAAUCACUUUGUGUGACUUCUGCUUCUCUUUUAGACUAUUUUUGUGUAGCCCAAGGUGACCUUGAACUAACAGACCCAUCCGCCUCUCAAGUGCUGGGAUUAAAGGCGUGUGCCCUCACUGCCUGGCAACCAUGGCUAGCUAGUGUAGCUAGCUCUGCACUCUGAUCCUCAGGUAAGCUUUAUUUGUUAAAACAUAAAGUAUCAUCACAGGUGGAUCUUUGAGUUUGAGGCCAGCUGGAUCUACAGAGCAAGUUCCAGGACAGCCAAGGUUACAUAGAGGAACCCUGCUUCCCCCAAAUAAAACAAACAAAGAGAAGCUUAUGCUUAACCAAUCAGAGUCCGCAGAUUAACAUGUACAACUAUGGACUGUUUUUUUGUGUUUUUUUUGUUGUUGUUGUUUUAACAAAAUAGACUAAAUGUACCAUUCUGAGUCUUGUAUAUGCUAUGCAAGCACCAAGCUACACCAUUGGUUCAAGAUAAGAACCAAUAUACAAAUUUUGGAGGCACCAAAGCACCAGUUCACAGCAAAAAUCACUGGUGAAGGCUCUCACAAGACUUGCUUUAAAUUUACCGAGGGACAUGCUCUGUACUCCCACACUCUUGCAUUUACUCUUCUAGCAUAAAUGCUAUUACCUCUCAUUUUAGCUUAUAAUUAUAAUUUAUAAUUUGGGAAGUCAAUUCAGAAUGUGAGUGUGUCCAUGUCUCUGUCUGUAUGUGUGUGUGUGUCUGUUGCUGUGUGUGUGCGUGUCUGUGCUGCAUGUGUUUACUGCUUUGGAGGAAAUGUACUAUUAAACAUAAUUAACAAUUUGGAAUAAUUAUAGUUGGAGAGAAUAGGCAUGAAUACAUGAAAAGUUAGAUAAAAUACUUUGCCAAGAGGAAGCCUAUUGAAUACAUUAUGUUUUGAGGAAUUUUUCAAGUACUAGCUUUAGAUGUUGAAAUACCUGGCUCCCAUCCCUUUGUACAAUUUUGUGUAGCAGAAGUUUCAUGUCUUUUUUUUUGUCAUUGAGAAACUUACAUAGCUAACCUAGAAUGGGAAAUGGAGAAGGUAAUAAAUGCAUAUGUUAAAAAAAUUGAAAGAAAGACUAGUUAGUGAAGGAAGGGAAGCAGCAAAUAGGGUUAGGGAGCCUGGAGGAGGGCAGUCAGUUGGAAGUGAAGGAAAUGGACAAGCUGAAGCUACAGCUAAUGCCAGCCAUUUCUCACUAAGCCUCACUGAAGCAGAGAUGCAAAAUUAUAUUUUAAAGUUUUAUUUCCUAUGCAAGCCUAAGAACCCAUUCUCUGGGAAAUGUUUUCCUUGAGAUGAUGUGCUAACUGUUCAUCUUUCCACACACUUACUAUGAGGGCCUGGAGUUAGGUUAAGGAUCAGGUUCACCUACUCUGCCCACUGGGCAUCUGAAAAUAUAUUUGAAUACUCAUGAGUGGUGUAGCAACCCUUUCCCAAAGACAAUAGUGUCCAUGUCUCCAGCAGCAGAGUCUAAUCAUAAGGGUUCCCUAGUAUGCUAUGGUGUCUGGUGUUAGCAGACCAGAUAGCUUCGCUUAAUAAAUUCUAGGGUUUGAUUCUGGGAGUUGGUUAUGGCUGAAGCAUUCAUAAAUAUACUUUUCAAGCCAUUUGAGAAUGUAUGUGAAAUUCCCAGCAACCUUAGAAUAAUUUCUAUUAUCUUCUUUAAUUAACUAAGGUCAGUUUCUUUUAUAUGCACAUAAAAAAAAAUCCUGUCUAUAAAGUAGUGCCAAGUGAGGUUGAAAGUAAUAAACUUGCAGAAAACUAGGGGGAAAUUAGAGUUUAUUAUGUCUUGUUAUGAGCUAAAUAGAAGUGGAAAAUCAAGUUGUUGUAUUUGCAUAAGUGAAUGUUGGACUCUAGUGUCCAAACCGAGAAGGAGUCGCCCCCAGAGACCACCUCAUAUACCACAGCCGAUGCAA